CCCAGCAAGUUUAAAUACAACAAUAUAAGGAUAUAUCAUGAUUGAAGAGUAUGAAUAAUGAGUUGGCUAUAAUUCAUCAAUAUAAUUGAGAACUAGAAGGAACAAACUUUUGACUGAACAAGUUUUAAACAUGAACAAACAUUUCUGGACAAAUCGGUAAUGAAGGUGAUCAACCUUUCAUACCUGACUUAUACAUGCAAGAUGUACAGAGUACAAUUUUCAUGGCAAUCAGCAAUGAUUAACCAUAAGCUUGAAUAAAACACUCUUAUUAGAGUUAAG
rnacentral:lncRNA from 1 species